AAUACUAUAUGCUUUACACAUGAGUUCAUGGAUAAUGAUCUCAGUACUGUAUGUUUUAUUUAGCUUUACAAUAUUAAGAAGCUCAUAUAGCAUGCAUUUACAACUGUUUUUUUCUCUGGGGUUAUUGCCAUCUUUUAUAAUUGAGAACAGAUGCCCAGAGGCUAUACAUGCCCAGCUGUAAACACAGUGGGGUGGUCCCAGUGCAGCAGAUUGGAAUGAGACUGGCAUGCACAGUGGUCAUCAGUGAUAUCUAUUUAGCAAAAGAUGUCAUACAAGUAUGCGUUGCUUUUGUUUGACUGUGAUGGUACUACGGCUGUUGUCCAUAGACGUCAACUGCCAGAGAAUGCAGCCAUUGGCCAACAGUUUGAGCUGAAAGAAAGUGGGAAUCACCUAUGUGAAAUCGUAAAUCUGGCCGAGACAAAAGAUGCCCUGAAUGCUUGGGAGCGUACUUGGUCUUCAUCAGCGAGGAGCCAGCUCAUUGAUCGAAAGCGAGAAAAAGGUGCAUCAAAUGGAUAUCUUGAACAGCAGGUAACCUUAUCAAUUAUGUGUCGAGUUAGUAGUAUAUGUAAGGCCCACACUCACAGAUGAUAGGCAGUAAACAA